UGGCUGGGUUGCUCUGCAAAAA
rnacentral:miRNA from 1 species